UCGUGCCGAAAGCCAUUGACGGCCCCCCGGACACUCCGCUGGGUGUCGCACUGGUGAUCGACCUCGGCCUGCUGGUCCUCUUCGGCCUGCAGCACAGCGUGAUGGCCCGGCCGGCGUUCAAGCGCGUCUGGACGCAAAUCGUGCCCGACCCGAUCGAGCGCAGCACGUACAUGCUGUUCACGAACGCGGCGCUGGCGGUCCUGUUUCUGCUCUGGCAGCCGAUUGAUCUGCCCGUCUGGAACAUCGAAAAUCCGGCGGCCCGGGCGGCGAUGUGGACGCUCUACGCCGGCGGCUGGGGAAUCGUGCUCCUGGCCACGUUCCUGCUGAAUCACUUCGACCUCUUCGGCCUGCGCCAGGUAUGGCUGCAACUGAUCGGGCGGCCAUACACGCACCUGCCGUUCAAGACGCCCCUCUUCUACGCACGGAUUCGGCACCCGCUGUACGUCGGCUGGAUGAUCCUGUUCUGGUCCGCGCCGACGAUGACGCUCGGCCACGCGCUGUUUGCAGCGGCGCUGACGGCCUACAUGCUGAUCGCCAUCCGCAUGGAAGAGCGCAAUCUCGUGCAGUUCCACGGCCGGGCGUACGCGGACUACCGCCGCCGCACGCCGAUGCUCGUGCCCCGUCUGCUGACCCGGCGAGAGCCCUCGGCCGCGCCUGACGCGUCGUCGGCCGCAUGAGUCCCUCACACAGAAAAAACUCACCACGGAGACACGGAGACACGGAGAAGAGAACGAACCACGGAUGAACACGGAUAGGCACGGAUACGGAAAAGACAAAGCAUCGAUUCACUUUCUUGAGGUUCUACUUCCCCAUCCGUAUUCAUUCGUGUUCAUCCGUGGUUUCUCUCUCCUGGUCUUCUCCGUGUCUCCGUGGUCAUUCUUCCUUGUAUUCGUCACUUCCAAAGGAGUAUCACAAUGC
rnacentral:misc_RNA from 1 species